rnacentral:sRNA from 1 species
GUUUGCACUCAUCGGGGAAGGGUGAAAACCUUCGACUAAGGUUCGAUUCGAGCGAAAGCGAGAGAACGUUGCCACAGGCAACGGCCCGAAGGGUGAGGAGCGAAGCGACGAAUAAUCCUUCCCCCACCACCA